UACGAAGGGGGCUAGCGUUGCUCGGAAUCACUGGGCGUAAAGGGUGCGUAGGCGGGUCUUUAAGUCAGGGGUGAAAUCCUGGAGCUCAACUCCAGAACUGCCUUUGAUACUGAGGAUCUUGAGUUCGGGAGAGGUGAGUGGAACUGCGAGUGUAGAGGGUGAAAUUCGUAGAUAUUCGCAAGAACACCAGUGGCGAAGGCGGCUCACUGGCCCGGUACUGACGCUGAGGUGCGAAAGCGUGGGGAGCAAACAGG
rnacentral:rRNA from 1 species